CUGAGCUUUGAUAAUCUAUAUGAAAGGCUGUCAGAAACCAUUGCUAGUACUAUUGUGAUCUGUCUGGAGCUUCCACGAAUCUAUAAGCUACCACAUUCAAUCUGAGGAGCCUACCGUGCUUAAGAAAUACUCCUAUCAUGGGGAAACUUCCCUGGUGUAGGUUUUCUAAACAGUGGCUCUAGUGUCCAUUGGGCUGAGGCAAAACUCUUUAUUCCAGAUCUGUCAUGCUUGUUUUCGUGGUGAGAAGAUGUCAUGGCCAAGACCUCCUUUUCUAAUGUUCAUUUAUAUCAUUUUGCAAUUUGCUGUAAUUUUUCUUUUGUUUUCACUUAUUUUGAAAUAGUUGGAUCUGUUCUUUAAUUGAAGGGCAGUAAGAGCUUUUGCCCGCCCUUUAGUUUGAUUUUGUGAGGAAUGUUCGGCUAGUGAUUUCCCAAGGAGAUAACUUCUCGUCCAGCCUGAUGCAGUUUGUUGGGCACUUUAUUUUCCUCUUAAGCAUAGUGUGUCGGUACCAGAAGUUUGAUUUGAAGGAAGGGAAAUCAGUGCAGCAAUUAAAUAUUAGCUUGGUGGGAAGCAAUUAUACUAAACUUAUGUAAAUACUUUUCGAUUAGUGUAAGUAAUUGCAUUUUUUAGAUUAGUUGACAAGGCAAAGAUUAGAUUGCUUAUUCAUUUGAGACUUAAUUUUGAUUUGUCUAUUUAAAGGUCAUAAUGGUUGUCUCAACUUGAGCCUUAAUUAAAUUUCUUGCUUGAAGGUUAUUACAUGAUAAAACAUAACUAAACUAUAUCUUAGUGGUUAUAUAGGGCAUAAAAUUGAGUUGGUUUUAUACUAAUGUACCUUUUAUUGUUUUUAGCUUAUUAAAGGCAUAUCUUUGUAGUAAGAAUUAAUUAGAUUUUAAAGAGAUAGUUGAUAAGGCUUGUUUGUUUGUUUGUUUGUUUGUUUGUUUAUCAGAUACAGUAUCAUUGUAUAGCCCUGGCUGGCCUAUACCUUGCUAAUAUUUAGACCAGUCUGGCUUUGAACUCACAGAGAUCCUCUUGCCUUUACCACCCAAGUGCUGGGACUAUAUGUGUCACUGAAACUGGCAAGAUGUGUUUUUAAUUGUUUGUGUGUCUGGGUCUGUAUGUACAUUUGAGUAGUGUCCACAGAGGGUAUUGGGUCCCUUGAAGUUGGUAUUGCAGUCAGGUGUGAGUUGUCUGACAUGGGUGCUGGGAACUAAACUCAGGUCCUCUGCAAGAGGAUUGUGUGCUCUUAACUGCUGAGCCAGCUCUCCAGUUCCUGAGACAUUCCAUUAUAAAUGUCUCAUUUUAAAAAUACAUUUUACUUAUUAAAUCCAACUGUGAUGGCAUGAAGAAUAAUAAUUGUUCAGUGUGUUAUAAUGUGUUCUAGCUUCUCUUCCUAUUGUGGUGAUUAAAAAACCCCAUCCAACAAAAGCAACUCAAGGGAGAAAAGGUUUAUUUGGCUCGCAGUCCAGGCUCCAGCCUAUCAUUGUGGAGGCGCCGAGGCAACAGCAACUUACAGCAGCCGCUCAAAAUGCGUCCACACUAAAGAACAAAGAGUACCGUGUAGUCUUCAUUCUGCCUCCCCUGUGUUCACAGCCUGUGUCUUUGCUAGUUGUUAGUAGUUACUCUCUAGACUUGGAUGUUUUCUAGAAUUACACAUCUGUUUGUCUUUGUUCUAGAAUUUAGGCUUCAUUAGGGUUGCUUGUGCUUGGUUUCAUAUUUUUAUGAUUUGUGCUGCUUUGCUUGUAACAUCAAGAAUGAUGUUCCAUAUAUAUAUGAAACGAUUAACUGGAUUGAUAAAUUAUUUCUGUUGUAAAAGAUAAAGAAAAUUGGGCUGGUGAGAUGGCUCAGUGGGUAAGAGCACCCGACUGCUCUUCCGAAGGUCCGGUGUUCAAAUCCCAGCAACCACAUGGUGGCUCACAACCAUCUGUAAGAAGAUCUGACUCCCUCUUCUGGAGUGUCUGAAGACAGCUACAAUGUACUUACAUAUAAUAAAU
rnacentral:lncRNA from 1 species